AUACGUAGGGGGCGAGCGUUGUCCGGAAUGAUUGGGCGUAAAGGGCGCGUAGGCGGCCCGGUAAGUCUGGAGUGAAAGUCCUGUUUUUAAGAUGGGAAUUGCUUUGGAUACUGUCGGGCUUGAGUGCAGGAGAGGUAAGUGGAAUUCCCGGUGUAGCGGUGAAAUGCGUAGAGAUUGGGAGGAACACCAGUGGCGAAGGCGACUUACUGGACUGUAACUGACGCUGAGGCGCGAAAGUGUGGGGAGCAAACAGUAUUAGAUACCCUGGUAGUCCACACUGUAAACGAUGAAUGCUAGGUGUAAGAGGUAUCGACCCCUUUUGUGCCGGAGUCAACACAAUAAGCAUUCCGCCUGGGGAGUACGGCCGCAAGGUUGAAACUCAAAUGAAUUGACGGGG
rnacentral:rRNA from 1 species